ACUUUCUGUUGGCACCUUGAGGUUCAUUUAGACACGACGACUUUGCUAAAAUAGAUUGCACAUUCUGACUCAUACCUCAAACCUGAAUAUUAAAUUCUCUAGUGCUACGAUUGAUUGGGAUUGGUUAUCAUUUUAUAUAUAAUACAAAUUUUAUUUUAAAACAUCAUUUUAUUUUACUAAUAUUUUUUUUUACUUCAAAAACAGGUAUAGGGCAGUUAUUUAAAAUGGGUUCAAGUUUUCACGAUAAAACUAUCUGGAUGGUGCAUUUACAUAUUGUCUACUGGCUGCCAGCGUUACUUGGAUACCAAAAUCCAAAAAAUAAUAUCCAUUGCCAUUUAUUGCAAAAAUUCCAAAAAAUGUUGAAAAAGUAGGACAGGCACUUUUUCAAGAUAAAAAAAUUCUUCCAAAUUUAUUGCAAAAUUUAAAUAACACAUUUUUCCAAAAUUCUCACCCACAAUUCCACUCAUCGUAAAAAAAUGGAUAAAAUCAAAAACAUCAAGUUCACCACAGCAAGGCUGACAAGUCAGGAAGGAUUUCUUCACUUCAAUCACCUCAUUUUCUCAAUUCUUACCAUUAUUGGACUCCAUAUCACUGGAGAACUUUACGACUCGAUAGACACGAAGGGUGAUUACUGGACUGGAGCUUUGUGGGGCUUGUUCAUUGGAAUUUUGGGCCUUGUCUCCUUGGCCAUCAUUCUUUGUAGCACUGUGGUCGAACUCCCCAGUUUUGUUCUCAGUAUGUACUAUGGCUGUACAGCCGUCUUUAUUUUCGUCUUUUCAUCUCUCGGACUCGGUAUCAACAAAUAUGUCGAAUCGUACAACGACUGUAUGAAGGAAAAUGAUUCCGGGAUUCGGUGUGAUUAUGGUUUUCUAGUGAAUCGCUUCAUCAUUUAUGCCAUCUCCAUCCUUCACGCCAUGAUGUACGUAGUCUCCAUGUGUAUCUUUAUCAAUGCCAAACCGGAAAUCGAGGUCACGGAAGGAACUAUCAGCAUCAUGGGCGACACCACCACCACAACCAGCACCACCACGAAGAGCCCGGCUUGAUAACAUGAUUUCGACAUGAAUUUGUAAUUAAUUAAUGAGACUCCGAAUCUACAAAUUUUUCUGUACAAAGUAAUAUAUUUUCUCAAAGCGACGCCAAAUUGCAAAAGUAUGCAGCAGAAUUAGAAUUUGCCACAUUUCAUUGAAUAAUUGCCAGUUUUUAAAUUAAAGGUGUUCAGACAACCUAUAAUUUGGGAGAGAAUUUCCAAAUUUUAAUUAAUAUUUUCUUAUUAGCAUGGAUAAAAUGAUUAAUUUUUAAUUCAUUCAAGUUCGGCACUUGAAAGGUGAUUAAAGGGUUUAACAGUUUAAUCAAGCAAUCAUAAACAACAUAGAGAAGCAGCGCUCAUCUAAUUUUCUCAGUGGUUAGAUUAAUUGACAGACUUGUUUCUGACACCUUGUUUUAAAAUCCUACCUGUUGGAUUCGUGUUUUAUAAUUUUUGGACGUCCGUCUACAAAUCUCGAGUUAUUAGAUACAAAGUUGCAUUGAUUGUAAGAAAUUAUUCAUAGAAUUUAGCAUGCAACUCCAUAGUCAUUGGUUUAGGAGGCUGUAGGUGCACACCUAGGAUGAAUUAAGUUUUCAACACGUUUUCCUUCUCCAUCGUCUACUUUUCAAAAAGAUGGGCUCCUGCACCAUAACCGGGUUUAAAACUAAUGCAUUUUCACGACAGUAUUUAUAAUUUCUUGUGAGGUGGAAAUUCUUAGAAUAAUUUAGUCUCAUUUUUGUAUUUCAAUUGUUAGAAAGGCAAAGAAACAUCAGAAUUUAAGACACCACUGCGAGCAGCUUAUUUCCAUAAAUAUUUCAAUUAUUUUUUCAAAGUCUAAAAUGAUUGUGAGUAUUACGCUGAAUACAACUCUCUCAUUUGAUCUUUG